rnacentral:tRNA from 1 species
GUUAAGGUAGCAGAGCUUGGCCAUGCAAAAGACCUAAGCCCUUUGGACAGAGGUUCAAAUCCUCUCCUUAACU